rnacentral:misc_RNA from 1 species
UACGAAUAAGAGCGGAGAGAACCGUCACGGACCUGCGUGAGUGCUAGCGGCGUCGUGAGUCGUUCUUUCGUACGACCGCCCGCUUAUGCACCGCUUCGUGUCGGUUAUCGAAUAUAUUAUAUAUAUAUAUAUAUAUAUAUACUGUUGUCCUCGUGACCGAUUUUUUUUUCAUAUCAGCAGAUUUGCAUACGUUUGCAGGUUUUCGAUGUGCACGAUGUCCGCGCCCCCGACGUCGUCUUAAAUGAAUAUUAUUUUGGCG